rnacentral:misc_RNA from 1 species
AACUAACGCUAUAUAAGUAUCAGUUUCUGUACUAUAUUGGUACGUGAAACUUCCGGUACCCCACCGGCAUAAUUUUGGACGCGGCCGCGAGGCGGCC